UGAGGAAUAUUGGUCAAUGGGCGAGAGCCUGAACCAGCCAAAUCGCGUGCAGGAUGACUGCCUUAUGGGUUGUAAACUGCUUUUGUAAAGGAAUAACAACUCUUACGAGUAAGAGGAUGAAUGUACUUUAAGAAUAAGGAUCGGCUAACUCCGUGCCAGCAGCCGCGGUAAUACGGAGGAUCCAAGCGUUAUCCGGAUUUAUUGGGUUUAAAGGGUGCGUAGGCGGUGAUUUAAGUCAGUGGUGAAAGUUUGCAGCUCAACUGUAAAAUUGCCAUUGAAACUGGGUCACUUGAGUAUGGUAGAGGUAAGCGGAAUGCGUUGUGUAGCGGUGAAAUGCUUAGAUAUAACGCAGAACCCCAAUUGCGAAGGCAGCUUGCUGGACCAUUACUGACGCUGAGGC
rnacentral:rRNA from 1 species